rnacentral:rRNA from 1 species
ACGGGGUGCAGCAGGCGCGAAAACUCCGCAAUACACGAAAGUGUGACGGGGGGACCCCAAGUGCUCUCGCGUAAGCGAGUGCUUUUGUGAAGUGUAAAUAGCUUCGCGAAUAAGAGCUGGGUAAGACCGGUGCCAGCCGCCGCGGUAACACCGGCAGCUCGAGUGGUGAUCACUAUUAUUGGGCCUAAAGCGUCCGUAGCCGGUUUGGUAAGUCCUUGGGCAAAUCCUACCGCUUAACGGUAGGAAUUCUGAGGAUACUGCCAGACUUGAGGCCGAGAGAGGUCGGAGGUACUUCUAGGGUAGCGGUGAAAUGCUAUAAUCCUAGGGGGACCACCAGUGGCGAAAGCGUCCGACCAGAGCGGGCCUGACGGUAAAGGGACGAAAGCCAGGGGAGCGAACGGGAUUAAGAUACCCCGGUAGUCCUGGCCGUAAACGCUGUGGGCUAGGUGUUGCAUGCUCUACGAGGGCGUGCAGUGCCGAAGAGAAGUUGAUAAGCCUACCGCCUGGAAGUACUAUCGCAAGAU